rnacentral:lncRNA from 1 species
CAUCAGCAUGAGCAACUACAGUUCUGUUCAGAGAAAGAUGUGCUCUUUCGUUGCUAUUACCAAAUACCCCAAAUGCACACACCAUGUAGACUUGCAAAGAUCCUAUACUUUAAAAUGAGAUUCAUUAAAACUACUUCCUGAGCACUAAUAUGUGCAAGACACUGUGCUGAGUGCUGUGUAUUCAUUUGUGUUAUGUUUCAAUUACUAAGAAGCUACACAGAUUUUUUUAAAUACUGCCAUAGUCACUUGAAUACUUGAGCAGGGGAAGCAGCGGUCUCCGGCGUCAAGUCAGUUUCAGCUCUUGAGAUCUGAAAGGCAGCCACUUGGAGUUCAUUACACAUUUCUACUCAACACUCCUGCCUUAACAUUGUAUCACACAAGAAUUCUAAAUUCAUUUUGGCUGCGUUACAAGGCCUGUUUUCUGCCUGGAUGCCCAGGUCUUCUUUCUUUCCAUUGUCUCUGGUUGGUGUCCAGGAAUAAAGGAUACUUAACAUUUAAAAA